rnacentral:tRNA from 1 species
GACAGCUUGGCCGAGUGGUUAAGGCGAUGGACUUGAAAUCCAUUGGGGUAACUGCGUGAGUUCAAAUCUCACAGCUGUCG